CUUACGCUAAUAGAUGGAUAGCUUGGUUUGGACUGUGAUGAAGGACGUGGCAAGCUGCGAUAAGCUCGGGCUAUUUGCAUGCAAAAUUUGAACCCGAGAUUUCCUAAUACGAUAACGUAUUCUUCGGAAUAUGCCGAGAGGCAAAUACACGCCGGGAAUUGAAACAUCUUAGUACCGGCAGGAAGAGAAAACAAUUGUGAUUUCCUUAGUAGUGGCGAACGAAACGGAAUCAGGGCAAACUGAAUCUGCUUUUGAAAAGAAGUUAGAGAUGUGGUGGAGAUAAGUGACUAAGUCAUUGAGUUGAAAUUUUCUGGAAAGAAAUACCUUAGAGGGUGAUAGUCCCGUAAACUAAAAUGAUAUGUUGCUCUUCAAAAGAGUAGGGCCUCCUGGAUUGGAGGUCUGAAUGUGGCUGGAUUAACAGCUAACCCUAAAUAUAAGUCCAAGUCCGAUAGUGAACUCAGUACCGCGAGGGAAAGCUGAAAAGUACUCUUAAUAGAGGGUUAAAAGAUUUGAAAUCUAUUAGUUACAUAUGGUUACGGCUUCUUAGGGAGUUGUAACGUACGUUUGGAAAAAUGGGCCAAGGAGUUCUUCAAAGUGGCGAGGUUAAUUUGAAGCCAUAGCGAAAGCGAGUAUGAAAAUGCGUUAGUCACUGGGGAGAGACCCGAAGCUAGAUGAUCUAUUCGUGAGCAGGCUGAAGUUUUUCGAAAGAAGAAUGGAGGGCCGAACCGUUGUUGUGUACAUGCACUCGGAUGACUUGCGAAUAGGGGUGAAAAGCCAAUCUAAUCUAGCGAUGGCUGGUUCCUGUUGAAAUAUGCCGCAGUAUAGUCUUGUAUAGUUUGUUAACGAGGUAAAGUACGGAUAGAGUUUGCAGGAUCGAAAGAUUACGGAACUUCUUCCAACUCCGAACUUGUUAACUGCUUAAUACAGGAAUGGGGGGCAGUGCGUAAGGUGCUGUUCCGAGACCCGAACAAGGGAGACUAGAGUUAAGGUCCCAAAAUAUAUGCUAAGUGUAACGAAAGGUGUCUUGAACCUGAGACAGUGGGGAUGUAGGCCCAGAAGCAGCCAUCAUUUAAAGAAAGCGUAACAGCUCACCUAUUGAGGUUCGAGGCCCUGAAAAUGGACGGGGCUAAGCAUAUUACCGAUACUUUAGAGGCACUCAUUUGAGUGUUCUGGUAAGCAGGCGUGGAUUCUGCGCAGAAGUGUUUCCGGGAGGAAGCGUGGAGCGGGAUCUAACGAGAAUCUUGGCGUUAGUAAGAUCAGAUCAACCUGAGAAUGGUUGGCGUCGCAAGAGUAAGGUUUCCUUGGCAAUAUCGUUUAACCAAGGGUUAGUCGGCACCUAAGUCAUACCUUAACUGGCUAUGACGAAUGGACAUCCGGUUAAUAUUCCGGAACUAAUUAAGUUUGUUAUGUGUAUAAAUUGCUUUUGGAUAGGUGGGAGUUCGAAAGGACUUUUAAGUAAGAAAAAUGUGGAUUGUAAUGAUGAGAAGUGUUUGAAUUGCUUGACGAAAACCAUUGAAUCCGGGGGCCCGUGAAAAGUUUAUACAAUAGAAUUUAAUUAGCCGUACCCAGAAUCGACACUGAUACUCUGGUUUAGAAGACUAAGACGUGAAAGGGAAAACUGGUUAAGGGAAUUCGGCAAUUUGGCCCCGUAUCUUCGGUAUAAGGGGUGUCUAUGAAUGUCUUUGAUAUGUAGAAGGCGUUUGUAGAUCUCAGUAACAAGGACUGCCCGACUGUUUAUCAAAAACAUAGCCGGUUGCAAAUCGGAAACGAUUAGUAUAACCGGUGAGAUCUGCCCAGUGGCGGUGUUUAAAACCUGGGUUCAACCGGGCUAAGACCCGCUAAACGGCGGGCCUAACUAUGAGGCUCUUAAGGUAGCGUAAUGCCUUGUCGUUUGAAUGACGACGUGCAUGAAUGGUUUAACGAGGUGGUCGCUGUCCCUAACCAGGUCCUUCUGAACUCACUUACCGGUGAAAAUGCCGGUGUCGCCUAGUGGGAAGCGGAGACCUUGUGGACCUUUACUGCAACUUGUUGUUGUGAUUUUAAGAAUGGUGCAUAGCAUAGGUAGGAGCGUAGAUGUCUAGCUCUGGCGAAGACGGAGUGACCUUGUAAUACUACCCAUUGUUCUUGAGAUUGCUUACCCGAAAGGGGACACCAGCAGGCGGGCAGUUUGGCUGGGGCGGCACCCUGCAGAAAAGAUAUCUGUAGGGCCCAAUGGUAAACUCAUCCAGGUUGGAAAUCUGGAGUGGAGUGCGAGGGCAAAAGUUUACCUAACUGUACUUCGAAAAGCAAGAUGUGCAGAGAUGAAAGUCGGGCCUAGCGACCCCACGUAGCCUCUUAGUAGGGCUCGUGUGUGACAGAAAAGGUACCCCAAGGAUAACAGGCUUGUCGCGCCCGAUAGUCCAUAUUGACGGCGCGGUUUGGUACAUCGCUGUCGGCUCUUCCUAUCCUGGUUGUGCAGAAGCAACCAAGGGUGUCGGAGUUCACGCAUUAAAAGGGAUCGUUAGCUGGGUUAAGAACGUCGUGAGACAGUUUGUAUGAUAUCUACUAGGCGCGUUGUUGUCUGAGUGUAACGAAUAUCUAGUACGAGAGGAACGGUAUUUGGAUGCCUCUGGUCAGCAGUUGUUAUGAGCAGGCUGCACAGCUACGCAUUAAUGGAUAAGUGCUGAAAGCAUCUAAGCACGAAGCCAACCGCAACGUUGAUAGAGCUAGUGUGUAAGAUUCGAGUCAACGAGAAUUUAAGCACGUAGCUACUAAAAGCCACAAUCAAAAUAAGAUGAAAAAACCGGUGUCUGCCUACUUGUUUUUUUGAUUUAAUUCU
rnacentral:rRNA from 1 species